rnacentral:rRNA from 1 species
CCUACGGGAGGCAGCAGUGAGGAAUAUUGGUCAAUGGACGAGAGUCUGAACAAGCAAAGUAGCGUGAAGGAUGACUGCCCUAUGGGUUGUAAACUUCUUUUAUAUGGGAAUAAAAUGUUCCACGUGUGGGAUUUUGUAUGUACCAUAUGAAUAAGGAUCGGCUAACUCCGUGCCAGCAGCCGCGGUAAUACGGAGGAUCCGAGCGUUAUCCGGAUUUAUUGGGUUUAAAGGGAGCGUAGGUGGAUUGUUAAGUCAGUUGUGAAAGUUUGCGGCUCAACCGUAAAAUUGCAGUUGAAACUGGCAGUCUUGAGGACAGUAGAGGUGGGCGGAAUUCGUGGUGUAGCGGUGAAAUGCUUAGAUAUCACGAAGAACUCCGAUUGCGAAGGCAGUUCACUGGACUGCAACUGACACUGAGGCUCGAAAGUGUGGGUAUCAAACAGGAUUAGAUACCCGAGUAGUC